rnacentral:rRNA from 1 species
GAUGAACGCUAGCGGCAGGCUUAACACAUGCAAGUCGAGGGGUAACGGGGAAGCUUGCUUCCGCCGACGACCGGCGCACGGGUGCGUAACGCGUAUACAAUCUACCUUGUACUGGGGUAUAGCCUUUAGAAAUGAAGAUUAAUCCCCCAUAGUCUCUUAGAGUGGCAUCACUUCUAGAGUAAAGGUUACGGUAUAAGAUGAGUAUGCGUUCUAUUAGUUUGUUGGUGUGGUAACGGCACACCAAGACUACGAUAGAUAGGGGCCCUGAGAGGGGGAUCCCCCACACUGGUACUGAGACACGGACCAGACUCCUACGGGAGGCAGCAGUGAGGAAUAUUGGACAAUGGAGGCAACUCUGAUCCAGCCAUGCCGCGUGCAGGAAGACUGCCCUAUGGGUUGUAAACUGCUUUUAUACAGGAAGAAACACCUCUACGUGUAGAGGCUUGACGGUACUGUAAGAAUAAGGAUCGGCUAACUCCGUGCCAGCAGCCGCGGUAAUACGGAGGAUCCAAGCGUUAUCCGGAAUCAUUGGGUUUAAAGGGUCCGUAGGUGGAUAACUAAGUCAGAGGUGAAAUCUUGCAGCUCAACUGUAAAAUUGCCUUUGAAACUGGUUAUCUUGAGUUAUUAUGAAGUAGUUAGAAUAUGUAGUGUAGCGGUGAAAUGCAUAGAUAUUACAUAGAAUACCAAUUGCGAAGGCAGAUUACUAAUAAUUAACUGACACUGAUGGACGAAAGCGUGGGUAGCGAACAGGAUUAGAUACCCUGGUAGUCCACGCCGUAAACGAUGGUUACUAGCUGUUUGGACUUCGGUCUGAGUGGCUAAGCGAAAGUGAUAAGUAACCCACCUGGGGAGUACGUUCGCAAGAAUGAAACUCAAAGGAAUUGACGGGGGCCCGCACAAGCGGUGGAGCAUGUGGUUUAAUUCGAUGAUACGCGAGGAACCUUACCAGGGCUUAAAUGUAAGUUGCAUUAGCUAGAGAUAGCUAUUUCUUCGGACCACUUACAAGGUGCUGCAUGGUUGUCGUCAGCUCGUGCCGUGAGGUGUCAGGUUAAGUCCUAUAACGAGCGCAACCCCUGUUGUUAGUUGCCAGCGAGUCAUGUCGGGAACUCUAACAAGACUGCCAGUGCAAACUGUGAGGAAGGUGGGGAUGACGUCAAAUCAUCACGGCCCUUACGUCCUGGGCUACACACGUGCUACAAUGGUAGGUACAGAGAGCAGCCACUGCGCGAGCAGGAGCGAAUCUAUAAAACCUAUCACAGUUCGGAUCGGAGUCUGCAACUCGACUCCGUGAAGCUGGAAUCGCUAGUAAUCGGAUAUCAGCCAUGAUCCGGUGAAUACGUUCCCGGGCCU